rnacentral:rRNA from 1 species
CAGACCAAACUUCUUUGUCAAAGCCUGAUCUCGUCACAUCUCAAAAGUUAAGCAAAGCCGGACCUCGCUAGUACUUGGAUGGGAGAUCGCUGGGAAUUCCAGGUGCCACAGUGG